UAGACUGUCGCUAUGGACCGCCAUGUAUUAUUUUCUGAAAAUACUCUUCACAUGGCAGAAUAAAUAGGCCGCCCUCUCAUCCCUCUUCCCUCCGCCCCCUCUCUCUCUCACACACACACACUCUCACACGCUCUCGUGUCCGCUGUUGCCUCUCCUUCUGUCUCCCUCUCUGCUCUGCUCUGCUCUGCGCUGCGCUGCAUGCAAACCUUCUCUCUAUAUCUAUUCCUCAUUUAUUGAGGUAGUGAACAAAAACCGUCAUAUGAUUUAAAUUAGCAGAAAGAGGGGAGGUUGUACCCAUGCAGUUGGAACAAAAAUAGCUGAGUUUCGACACAAAACACAGAAAGCCCUUGUCUUUUAUGUUUCUCGGCACGUUCACCAUGAAAACGAAGGAGGAGGAGGAGGGUGGGUGGGGAGUCAAUAGGAGAAACCAACAACGGAUCGCAACCCAUCUCGCUCUAUAUGAGCAGACGGAAUAGGAGGGUUGAGCCAAACGUCUUUCCCAAGUCGAGACAAGAAGCCUAUUUUAAAUGCUGGUGAUGUGGUAGAAACCGUACAUUGUUCUGACUUGGAUGGUUGCUAUCGGUUUGAUUAAAUUGUUUUCCACACUGGAAUCAAAUAGAAGCUUAAUAUCGCGCAUUAGAACUCUUGUUCUCCCCACUUCACGAAGGAUCACGUUUUUGGAUAAUCUGAACAGACUUUGCAUCAGGUGUAGGAGAGGGGCACUGAUGGCAGUGACGAGUCCUGGACGGGCAGAAGCACCUGUGACCUGAAAGAGGCUUUUCUGAAUCCACUGGCAAUCCUGAAAGGUACUACACCAUCAGAAGAAUCCCCCUGUCACCCUCCUGUGUUCCCCUCCUGUGUUCCCCUCCUGUGUUCCCCUCCUGUGUUACCUGUGUUCCCCUCCUGUGUUAGCCUCCUGUGUUCCCCUCCUGUGUUCCCCUCCUGUGUUCCCCUCCUGUGUCACCCUCCUGUGUUAGCCUCCUGUGCUACCUGUGUUCCCCUCCU
rnacentral:lncRNA from 1 species